AGUAACGCGUGAGAUCUGCCUUGGGGUCGGGGACAACCACUGGAAACGGUGGCUAAUACCGGAUAAGCCUUUGGGUACAAAAUUUAUUGCCCCAAGAGGAGCUCGCGUCUGAUUAGCUAGUUGGUGAGGUAAAAGCUCACCAGUGCAGCGAUCAGUAGCUGGUCUGAGAGGACGAUCAGCCACACUGGGACUGAGACACGGNCCAGACUCCUACGGGAGGCAGCAGUGGGGAAUUUUCCGCAAUGGGCGAAAGCCUGACGGAGCAAGACCGCGUGAGGGAGGAAGGCUCUUGGGUUGUAAACCUCUAUUCUCAGGGAAGAAGCUCUGACGGUACCUGAGGAAUCAGCCUCGGAUAACUCCCGUGCCAAGCAAGCCGAGGUAAUACGGAGGAGGCAAGCGUUAUCCGGAAUUAUUGGGCGUCAAGCGUACGCAAGUGGCGAUUCAAGUCGGCGGUCAAAGCACGGGGCUAAACUCCGUUAAGGCAGUGGAAACUGAAUAGCUAGAGUGCUGUAGGGGUAGAGGAAUUCCCCGGUGUAGCGGUGAAAUGCGUAGAGAUCGGGAAGAACAUCGGUGCCGAAAGCGCUCUACUGGACGGCAACUGACACUCAGGGACGAAAGCUAGGGGAGCGAAUGGGAUUAGAUACCCCAGUAGUCCUAGCUGUAAACGAUGGAUACUAGGUGUAGCUUGUAUCGACCCGAGCUGUGCCGAAGCUAACGCGUUUAAGUAUCCCGCCUGGGGAGUACGCACGCAAGUGUGAAACUCAAAGGAAUUGACGGGGGCCCGCACAAGCGGUGGAGUAUGUGGUUUAAUUCGAUGCAACGCGAAGAACCCUACCAGGGCUUGACAUGUCCGGAAUCCCGGUGAAAGCUGGGAGUGCCUUCGGGAGCCGGAACACAGGUGGUGCAUGGCUGUCGUCAGCUCGUGUCGUGAGAUGUUGGGUUAAGUCCCGCAACGAGCGCAACCCUCGUCUUUAGUUGCCAGCAUUAAGUUGGGCACUCUAGAGAGACUGCCGGUGACAAACCGGAGGAAGGUGGGGAUGACGUCAAGUCAGCAUGCCCCUUACGCUCUGGGCGACACACGUACUACAAUGGUCGGGACAGAGGGCAGCGAACCUGCGAAGGCAAGCUAAUCCCAGC
rnacentral:rRNA from 1 species